AAGUCGUAACAAGGUUUCCGUAGGUGAACCUGCGGAAGGAUCAUUAGUGAAUUUUAGGGCGCUCUUUUCUGCGGAAGCGAUUAGAGGCCUGACCUCCACUUAUCCUAACACUGUGCACUUUAUAAAUUGAAGCGGGCUUCGUUGCUCGCUCCAAUUUCUCAUCUUUAACACUAGUCAAAGAAUGUAAAUAAAACAUAACAAAGAAAAACUUUCAACAACGGAUCUCUUGGCUCUC
rnacentral:misc_RNA from 1 species